CAAUAGCGUAUAUUAAAGUUGUUGCAGUUAAAAAGCUCGUAGUUGGAUUUCUGCUGAGAACGACCGGUCCGCCCUUUGGGUGUGUAUCUGGCUCUUUCUUGGCAUCUUCUUGGUGAACGUUGCUGCACUUGACUGUGUGGAGCGCUACCCAGGACUUUUACUUUGAGGAAAUUAGAGUGUUUCAAGCAGGCAUACGCCUUGAAUACAUUAGCAUGGAAUAAUAAGAUAGGACCUCGGUUCUAUUUUGUUGGUUUCUAGAGCUGAGGUAAUGAUUAAUAGGGAUAGUUGGGGGCAUUCGUAUUUAACUGUCAGAGGUGAAAUUCUUGGAUUAGUUGAAGACGAUCUACUGCGAAAGCAUUUGCCAGGGAUGUUUUCAUUG
rnacentral:rRNA from 1 species